GAGUUAAAUAGUAAAGGGAAGCGAAAUCAUGAAGAAAAUAUACCAAAGCAAUGGAAAAAGAAAAGCAUAUUCUUUAAUUUGCCUUACUGGAAGGAUAAUCUUUUACGUAAUAAUCUUGAUGUCAUGCAUAUUGAGAAAAACGUUUGUGACAAUGUGUUGUAUACAUUGAUUAAAGAUGAAAAAUCAAAAGAUCACCUUGAAGCUCGUCAAGAUCUACAAGAUAUGGGAAUAAAAGAGGAUUUUUGGCUAGAUGAAAAUGGAAAAUAUCUUCCUUUAUUGUUUUCAAUGACAAAAGAAAAAAAGAAGAUAUUUCUAACUACAUUAAGGAACGUAAAAAUGCCAGAUGGUUACUCUAGUAACAUAUCUCGUUGCAUUGAUGAUCAAAACUCUAAGAUAUUUAGGUUGAAGAGUCACGAUUGUCACAUCCUCAUGCAACAUUUACUUCCACUAGCUAUACGUAAUGUUUUACCUGAUAGUGUGACUACAGUGUUGGUAGAGUUUUGCUCAUUUUUCAAGGAGUUAUGUUGUAAAAGAUUGAAUAUAUUAAAUCUUGACAGGCUACAAUAUCGGAUUGUGCUCACUCUUUGUCAUUUGGAAAUACUAUUACCCCCAUCAUUCUUUACAGUGAUGGUCCAUUUAACUUGUCAUCUUGUUGAAGAAGUGAAAUUGGGAGGGCUAGUGUAUUAUCGUUGGAUGUAUCCAAUUGAGAGGAUGUUGGGACAUUUGAAGUCCUUUGUACGAAAUAGGGCACAACCAGAAGGUUCUAUAAGUGAAGCUUAUUUGGCCGAAGAGACUCUUAAUAUUUACUCACUAUAUGAAGAAGUUGAGUCAAGGUUGAAUAGAAGUCGACGUGUUGAUGAUCGUCCUAAUGAUAAUGAAACAUCUCAAAUCAUUUAUCCUCAGUUAGGUAGACCAGUGGGAAGCUCAUCAACUUUCACUCUUACCCCAUUGGAAAAAAUACAAGCACAUCGAUAUUUAUUACUAAAUUGUCCAAAAGUUCAGUCAUAUGUGGAUGAUUUCAAGACAUUCACUAAGAGGAAGACAAGAAAUCGAAGGCUUUCAACUAUAGAGUUGGAAAAGAUAGUUAGUAAAGAAUUUGCGAGUUGGUUUCUUCAUCGGGUUACAAAUCCAGACAUUACAAAUGUAGUGCCAGAUGAAAUAAAGUAUUUAGCUAGGGGCCCAAUGCCAAUUGCAAGAAGAUAUACGGCAUACAACAUCAAUGGGUACAAGUUUAGAGUCAUAAAAUGAGAUGAAGGCUUAAAAACUCAAAAUAAUGGAGUUUUUCUAACUUCAAACACAUCAUGUGUUGCAAGUAGCUCUGAUGCAAAUUUAAGGCUAGCAGAUUUGCCGUAUUAUGGGAAGUUGGAAGACAUAAUUGAGCUUAAUUAUUAUGGUUUUCUUAGAGUUGUUCUCUUUAGAUGCAAAUGGGCAGAUACUACACGCCCAAGAGGAAUUAGAAAGGAUGCUUGGCAAUUUACUUCAGUGAAUUUUUCUCACUGUAUUCACACAGGUGAACGUGAAGAACAUGACCCCUAUAUUGAAGCUUCACAAGCACAAAUGGUGUAUUAUGUUGAUGAUGAGGUAAAUAAAGGGUGGAGUGUUGUUGUCCACAUGAUGCCAAGAGAUUUGUAUGAUAUGGGAGAAGUUGGGGAAGAUAUUAUAUUUGAAAGUGAGUCGUAUCAUGAGCAGGACUUGAGUAAUUUAUUUACAAAUGAAACAGAUACAAUAACCUUGGCAAGGGAUGAUGUAGAUGAUGAAAACCAAUUUCAAGGAGAUGCAAAUAUAAUUGAAUAAUUAAGACAAAUAUCACAAACUAAUUUAUUUUAUGGUCCAAAGUUGUACUCAAUAGUAGUCAUGCAUCCUAAAUUCAAGCAUUUUAAAAAAGAAGCAUCUCAAAGACAUUCUUUCAUCCCUCCUUUGGCUCGUACUCAACAUUCGCACAUUCCUCUUAUAACUUCUUUUCAAGAACCACACAUUACACCUAUGGCUCCUCCUCAACAGCAACAUAUUCCUCCUAUAGCUCCUCUUCAACAACCAUACAUUACACCUAUGGCUCCUCCUCAACAGCCACAUAUUCCUCCUAUAACUCCUCUUCAACAACCAGACAUUACACCUAUGGCUCCUCCUCAACAGCCAUAUAUUCUUCCCAUGGUUCCUCCUGAACAGUCGCAUAUUCCUCCCAUGGUUCCUCCUGAACAGCUGCAUAUUCCUCUCAUGGUUCCUCCUGAGUGUCGCCACCGGCCCGAAACGGGCUUUCGGCAUUCGCGAAUGAUGGUUGGAC